GUUGAAUAAUUUUUUUGUGCUUGUGAAGCCAUACUCUGUCCCUGUUAUGAAAGGAGGUGUAAGAGGCCAGCUCUUGCCAUUCUGUUUUUUGUUUUUGCAUUUGGUGGUGGUAACAAGCAUGUUCUGGAAGCCCAGAGUUAUAGUACUUAUUACCAGCCUGCAUCAAACACACUUAAUUUAGCUUGUAUACUUGCUUCUCCGAAGGCUUCUAACUUUCAUCUGGUGAGCAAACAAUCUUUGAGUCUCUCAGAUUUAUAGAUAUAUAAAUAAUAUUUUUAUCAG